GUACAUGCCAACAUCAAAGCGUUAAUGCAUCAAAUCCCAUUAGAACUUCGUAGUUAAGCACACUCAGGCUAGAGUAGUACUGGGAUGGGUGUUGGCACAUGGGUAUACCUAGGGUUCAAUACU
rfam:Picea glauca, whole genome shotgun sequence.